GUGCUCUCUUCAGCAGUACACAUACUAUAAAAUUGGAACCAUACAGAGAAGAUUAGUAUGGCCCCUGAGCGAGGAUGACACGUAAAUUCAUGAAGCGUUCCAUAUUAAG